GACGAACGCUGGCGGCGUGCCUAAUACAUGCAAGUUGAGCGAUGAAGAUUGGUGCUUGCACCAAUUUGAAGAGCAGCGAACGGGUGAGUAACGCGUGGGGAAUCUGCCUUUGAGCGGGGGACAACAUUUGGAAACGAAUGCUAAUACCGCAUAACAACUUUAAACAUAAGUUUUAAGUUUGAAAGAUGCAAUUGCAUCACUCAAAGAUGAUCCCGCGUUGUAUUAGCUAGUUGGUGAGGUAAAGGCUCACCAAGGCGAUGAUACAUAGCCGACCUGAGAGGGUGAUCGGCCACAUUGGGACUGAGACACGGCCCAAACUCCUACGGGAGGCAGCAGUAGGGAAUCUUCGGCAAUGGACGAAAGUCUGACCGAGCAACGCCGCGGGAGGGAAGAAGGGUUUCGGAUCGUAAAACUCUGUUGGUAGAGAAGAACGUUGGUGAGAGUGGAAAGCUCAUCAAGUGACGGUAACUACCCAGAAAGGGACGGCUAACUACGUG
rnacentral:rRNA from 1 species